rnacentral:rRNA from 1 species
GACGAACGCUGGCGGCGUGCUUAACACAUGCAAGUCGAACGGUAAGGCCCUUCGGGGUACACGAGUGGCGAACGGGUGAGUAACACGUGGGUGAUCUGCCCUGCACUUCGGGAUAAGCCUGGGAAACUGGGUCUAAUACCGGAUAGGACCACUGCCUGCAUGGGGGGUGGUGGAAAGCUUUUGCGGUGUGGGAUGGGCCCGCGGCCUAUCAGCUUGUUGGUGGGGUGAUGGCCUACCAAGGCGACGACGGGUAGCCGGCCUGAGAGGGUGACCGGCCACACUGGGACUGAGAUACGGCCCAGACUCCUACGGGAGGCAGCAGUGUGGAAUAUUGCACAAUGGGCGCAAGCCUGAUGCAGCGACGCCGCGUGAGGGAUGACGGCCUUCGGGUUGUAAACCUCUUUCAGCACCGACGAGGCGCAAGUGACGGUAGGUGCAGAAGAAGGACCGGCCAACUACGUGCCAGCCGCCGCAGUAA